GAUGAUAGUUAAGAAGUCGCAUCUGGAGUUCAGGGGGAGCUGGCAGAUCUGCUGAUGUUGCCAUAGCGCCGGCGUUCACCCAGCGGUGCAUUCAUGUCCACCCAGCAGCACACCAGAUACAUAUUCAUCCUUUCACGUUCGAUUGGAAACGGAAUUAAAAACAGCUGCCGAUUGAUUGUCUCGUGUGUGGGGCCGACUCCCUGCGUCGUACAGAGCUGGAGAGGAAUUAAAAAGGCGCAGUCGGGGGAGGUCGGGGAGUCAUUUAAGUUUCAUAUCUGGGGAUGAAUCUUCUUGUUCUUGAGCUUUAAGUUUCUGACAGCUGUGUUCUGAGGAUUGGGGGGCGGGGGAGAGGCUGCUGGUGGUCCGGUCUUCCCCCCAGGGUACGGGGACUAGACUCCUGACCCCGUUUGUGUGGUUUCAAACCAUGGUGACCUGCUGCAAAUCGCAGGAGAAGUGCAUGCGGGGGAAAAGGGAGCUUCUGCAUGAAGUCUUCUACCGCUUGUGACGUGUGCUGGUAAAUAGGGGGCCGCGCAGACGUCGUGUUUCCUACGCUUGAUAAAUUCAUCCCGACAGUUAAUAUGCCGCGCCUGCAUGAGCCGGUGUCAGUGCUGAUAGAUGAACGCACGUCGCCUUGUUGCCUUGUUAUUAAUGGUUUUAUUUGGGCAAAGUGGAAAUAUAGUUCGUAUUUUGUCCUCGUUAUUGGGGUAUGCAGAAAAAAUAAUGGCAUUCUCUGCGUCUCCUUUUGACUUGGAAAUAACUAAUUUAAUAUUCAUUGAAGUAAUUUAAUAAUGCACUCCACCAACGCCACCACCACGAACGGCCAUCUUUGCCUCCCUGUCCAUGGGAAAAGGUAAUUUAACCUCCAGUCACUCAGAAAGCAGACGCCUAUAUGCUUCAAACCGCUCGUGUGAGAUUAAAACUAUGGGAUUGGGUGAAUGGAAUGAAUUUUUCAAAUGGAAGCCGAGGGAGCAGUCGAUUUAACGUCUGCAACAGAAGGGGACAUGACGAUGGGCCCCAUAAAGCAGUAGGCCUGUUUAGGACUCGGGGACUGCGGGGAAGUGCUGUGAAGAAGUGUCAAGUGAUUGGGUAAAAUGGCCGGGAUCGAUCGGCGGACAUUCUGGAAGCUCAUUAAGAGUCAGUGAAAAAUCAGCCAUUUUUUUUAACGCUUGUCCACAACCUCACUGUCUGUUAGGCACCGGCCUUCAGUGAAAACAAUAUUGCCGCUUUGGAAUGGGACUUGUUGCCGCUUGUCCUUCGUUCUUUGCAUGCAGGUCUGUAUAACCUACUGUCUUUUGUGUAUUUCACACAAAUCAAUGCUCCCUCAAGAGGCCUCCUGAACUGGGCUGUUCGGAGCAUCCUGUUCUCCAGAGCCAACUGUAAAACACCUCUGCUAUGACAUUCAUUAAAUCCUAGUUCAUUGGUAAACUAGCUCAUCUUUAGUGGUUCCUGAAUGUAUAAUAUUGUAUAAUAAAUGUUCAAUCAACCAUGAGACACAACAAAGGAUGUGGCCGUUCCCAGACAACCCAAAAGGAGGACAUUUUUCAAAACUUACGUAUACACAAAGCCGACACGUCCAAUAACGCUACUGCACAUAUUUUGUGUUUUUGUAUGCUCUCUCAUGUUCAUCCACAGUUUAGGAAAAUGUAUUCAUGCAUUUAGCAUUCAAAUAUAAAACAUCAUUAAAGCUUUAUAAUAAACAUGCCAUAACAGCAACACUUUUGUGUCGCUGUGUAAUUAUACAGUAUAUUUGUGUAAUUUAUCUCAGUUAACCAACAGACCAAAGCACUGUUGGAUAUGGACCUAAAGCCAGACUCACUGUCCCCCUGGAGGCAGGACUAAGGUUGCGAGGAGCAAUAACUCCAUGUUGAGCAUGGAGCAGGUACUAUUGUGUCCCUUUAAGACAGUUGUGUGGGCGUUUCCCCCGAUUGGCCUAGAUCCUACAUGUCACAAAAUGAAACUCCCCCUUUUUAAUGGCAAUCUGGUAUCCAGACUCCAGACCAGGUGGUGGCAGAAAUGCACCAAUUACCUGGUUUGGCAGCCACGAUAAAAACUGAAGAAGAAGAAAGAAGAAGUCAGUUAGCUCUCCCUAGUUUGGUCUAAAUAAGCAUAGUUUCCCAAGGCUCCAGUGAUUGGAGAUUGCCUGGUCGUCAUCAGCGUGCCAAGCUUUUUAUCAUCCAUAGGGUCUGCCGGGUGAGGGUCCCUGGCCUCGCUGCCAUGUCGGUGGCACCGCAGUGACUGAGAGGAAGACGUGUCAGUGGGAGACGGAUGGAGAGCACACAGUGAACCGAGGUGGUCCCAACGUUUGGUGGUGGGCCUUAUAUUCUCCUUAUUCACGAUGAAGAGGAUAUGGUCCAACCCCUCAUCAAUCUGUCAGUCAUCAGUCGGGAACAGCUCUCACAUCACAAGGUGUCCGAAACAGCCAGUGCUCACGAAGACGAUAAGUAUGAUCCAGCAUCAGCAGCAGCCAACUCGCGUCGGCCACAUCCAGGCCCGACAGCAGUGGAUCGCUUUCCUCCGGACAAGACGUGUCAGAAGUAAUGGUGUGUACAAUCUGGGUUCCGUCUUGCGCUCUCACACUCAUGACGCAACAUCUACAAGGAAGAUUCCAUUGAAUGGAAUCAAUGGAAAGCGCUGAGCAUAUGUUUUCUCCGCCUUUUUCGCUUGGGAAAAAAAGAGAAAAUUGUGAUCAAUUUGAUAGGCAUGACUGCGUUGAAAAAUGACUGUUGCCUCACUUUAAUUGCAUCCAUUGAAGUAGUCUGCGCCUCAGUGAGCCGGGUCCGCCGUUAUUUUAGUCUGCCGACGGUAUAUUGUUACCCAGGUGGAUAUAGGAUUAAAGGGUUACAAAGACACGCAGUCUGUAGGAGCCUAGUCACAGUGACAACGCUACUUUGUUCGUCUUGACGAGUUUCAUCCGGCACUUCUUUUUAAAUAGCUAUAACAAUUACCCAUGCGCUCAGCACAUUUAUUUUUAAUCACAUCCUUUUUAAAGCACAUCUUAACCGUCGUUACUGCUGCUUUACCAGGCACCUCAGUCUUGAUCUGUAGCGACCUGUAAAAUGGGACUUCAGUGUAUUCAACACUGGCCACAGAGAGCGCAUUCACAGCACAGAAGUCUUUCACUUCAUCUCUUGUUCAUUGCAUUAUUGAAACACUGGCUUUGAGGUGCCUCCAUUUUGUAUUACAGCCCACAGAAAUCAUUCUCUUGUUCUUUUCUCCCCUCACUGUGCGGUACCACCGCCUCAUUCCGGCUAGUUUAUUUCAGUCCCAGCAUCAUUCCCUCUCGUUAGUCUAAUUGUUUUUGAAAUCAGUGCA